AGAGCGCUGGACAGCACAGAGCUGCACGCAGAACUCUGGACAUCUGCAGAGAGACGCCUUCAACACUCAGCCGAGUACUGAUCAACAGUGCCUGUGAGGAGACUACCUGAGGCCCGGGAAAGAACUCCCGACGACUGGAGAUAACAAUCCCUGGAGCUCAUAUAGCGCUGGGAAUACUUCCUGUUCCCACCAGUCAGAGUUGAAAACCAUGAAACUCACAGGACAUCAAGUUCUCAGAAGGGUUUUACCUCAACAGUGGGUAAAUUAGCCCUAGACUAAAGGCCGCUCUGGUAUCUCCUAACAAAACUCCAUUUCGUGUAUUUCAGGUCUGCCGGUGAGUCACCAAGCAGAGGCAGCAGUCCUCAGAAGGCAAUGGUUCCGCUCCAAGCUGUGAAUUCCAUGAGCAAACAAAGUCCUGGCUGUGACCCUGUCAGAUAAAAAGAAUCUGGGGUGCAUUUGCUGUUUGGUACAGGAAAUAAGAGGUGGCGAUGCCCAGAAGACAACUGGAGAUGUGGGCCAAGGACACAGAGACAGGUCCAGGCUGCAGCUUUAAAGGUGAGCUCUAGAUCCAGUGACAAGUGUCUUUAUAAGAGACACGCAGAGAGAAGAGAGGGCCAGCCAUGCGCAGACGAAGGCAGAGAAUGGAGGAUGCAGCCACAAGGAACUCGUGGAGCCACCAGGAGCUGGAAGGGGCAAGGAAGGCUUCUGUCCUAGCGCCUCCAGGGGGUGUGUGGCCAGCUGACACCUUGAUCUUGGAUCAGUGCCCUCCAGGACCAUGAAAAAAUAAAUUUCUGUUGUUGUAAGCCACCAA